UAUACCGUGAAACUGCGAAUGGCUCAUUAAAUCAGUUAUCGUUUAUUUGAUAAUACCUUACUACUUGGAUAACCGUGGUAAUUCUAGAGCUAAUACAUGCUGAAAAUCCCGACUUCGGAAGGGAUGUGUUUAUUAGAUAAAAAACCAAUGCCCUUCGGGGCUUUUUGGUGAUUCAUGAUAACUUUACGGAUCGCAUAGCCUUGCGCUGGCGACGGUUCAUUCAAAUUUCUGCCCUAUCAACUUUCGAUGGUAAGGUAUUGGCUUACCAUGGUUUCAACGGGUAACGGGGAAUUAGGGUUCGAUUCCGGAGAGGGAGCCUGAGAAACGGCUACCACAUCCAAGGAAGGCAGCAGGCGCGCAAAUUACCCAAUCCCGACACGGGGAGGUAGUGACAAUAAAUACUGAUACAGGGCUCUUUUGGGUCUUGUAAUUGGAAUGAGUACAAUUUAAACCUCUUAACGAGGAACAAUUGGAGGGCAAGUCUGGUGCCAGCAGCCGCGGUAAUUCCAGCUCCAAUAGCGUAUAUUAAAGUUGUUGCAGUUAAAAAGCUCGUAGUUGAAACUUGGGCCUGGCUGGCGGGUCCGCCUCACCGCGUGCACUCGUCCGGCCGGGCCUUCCUUCUGAAGAACCUCAUGCCCUUCACUGGGCGUGCUGGGGAAUCAGGACUUUUACUUUGAAAAAAUUAGAGUGUUCAAAGCAGGCCUUUGCUCGAAUACGUUAGCAUGGAAUAAUAAAAUAGGGCGUGCGUUUCUAUUUUGUUGGUUUCUAGAGACGCCGCAAUGAUUAACAGGAACAGUCGGGGGCAUCAGUAUUCAGUUGUCAGAGGUGAAAUUCUUGGAUUUACUGAAGACUAACUACUGCGAAAGCAUUUGCCAAGGAUGUUUUCAUUAAUCAGUGAACGAAAGUUAGGGGAUCGAAGACGAUCAGAUACCGUCGUAGUCUUAACCGUAAACUAUGCCGACUAGGGAUCGGGCGAUGUUUUUUUUCUGACUCGCUCGGCACCUUACGAGAAAUCAAAGU
rnacentral:rRNA from 1 species